CUUACAUCUCUUCGGGCAUUUUACGAGGUGCUGCAUGGUUGUCGUCAGCUCGUGCCGUGAGGUGUCGGGUUAAGUCCCAUAACGAGCGCAACCCCUACCUUUAGUUGCCAUCAGGUUAAGCUGGGGACUCCAAAGGAACUGCCUACGCAAGUAGUGAGGAAGGCGGGGAUGACGUCAAAUCAGCACGGCCUUACGUCCAGGGCUACACACGUGCUACAAUGGCCGGCACAACGGGAAGCGAAGGGGCGACCCUGAGCGGAUCCCACAAAAGCCGGUCUACAGUUCGGAUUGCAGUCUGCAACUCGACUGCAUGAAGUUGGAAUCGCUAGUAAUCGCGCAUCAGCCAUGGCGCGGUGAAUACGUUCCCGGGCCUU
rnacentral:rRNA from 1 species